UCUUUAGGGCCGCUCGGGUUAAUAUAUGUCGUCAGAGGCUCCUCACGCCAAUCCCGGGGCGGCGGGGGCGGCGCCUCGCUCCCUCCGCAAUAAAACUUUUUGAUGUUCUUUUUGCUAAUUGCCGAGGUCCUCUUCUAGGAUUGGCUGCCCCUUCAUAACCAUAAGAUAAUUAAAACGAGGGGGGGCAGGGUUAAAAAAACUUUUUUAUCAGCCAGAGGUUAAUGCAAGUGUUUAACAGAUGCUUCAUUAUUAAAAUAUUUUUUCCCCACCUUUCAAAUAUUGAAGAAUCUCAAACCAGGGACACCAGUCCGCAGGAAGACCUUGGGCGAUUUCAAAGCGCAGGCAACUCGGUUCCUCGAAUUUGUGAUGUGGCCGGUAUUGGUGUUCCCCUGGUUUAACUAGCCUGUUUGAAGGUGCAGGUCAUUCUUGGGGAAGUCCAACCCAAACCAGGCCUCCUCUGCCACCCAGAGGUCUUCCUUUCUGCCAGUCUCCAUCUGCCUGUGACUCCAGAAAGACAAACUUCAGAUUGGCCGAGCUACAUCUCUGACCAGAUCCUUUGGGGCUUGUGUGGCUUGAAGAGUUCUGGUGAGAGCGCCCCCAGUGCCAUUUUUGCCCUGGCUUUCUUGGCCCAGGUCCAGGGCUCUGGAAGGGUCAAAGUCUAGCCACUGGUGUUGUCCGCAAGCCCUAAGUUUUCAAUCUGAUGAAAGAUUGGAACUUUGGCUCAGGGCUUGAUCAGCUCACAGUUGUACAAGUUAGAGGAGCAGGCGGGAGAUGGCAGCAGGUGGCCAACUGUGGGUCUGGCACUGCUUGACUUGCCAGCACAGCUAGCGAACUCCUCUCUCUCACACUUCUGUGUUUCUUCUAGGCCCAGCCGAAAUGCCACCUCCUCCAGGAGUCCUUUCCAGGUGUAGCUUCCCUUCUUUCUCCUCCCUCAAAUCAGAUUUCUUCCUUCUGAACUCCUUUCUGGUGCUGCUGCUCUGGUCUCUAUGGUAGAUCUCUGGGCUCUUCCUGUGGGUCGUGGAGAGACCAAUCAAUGCACUGAAGCCAGUAGGUGCUUAAACAGCUUGUGUAAAAGGGGUGAUUCAGAGAAAUCAGGCGCUCGAAGACCCAACCCAACAGCUAGAGCCAGGUCGCUUCGGGGGCACCGCGCGCCUCCGCUGGGAUCACAAGGGCCUCGGCCGUCGCUGGACAGUGAGACGCAGAGUGAGACGCAGGGCUGCAGCCACAGCUCGGGACUGUUAGGGGACAGGAAGCGCAUCCAGAGCCGCCACCCCAGACUCAGGCCACUGCGUUGGCUGCUGGGCCGCUCCCUUCCUCCUGGUUAAAUUUUCGUUUUGAUCCCACCGCCCCUCGGUAACAACAGCCAAGGAGGCCGGUUCUCCGCCGCUCAGCGCUGCGGGGAGGAGGGACCCCCUCCCCAGCUUCCUCCAGCGGGUCUGCGAGGACUUUUCGCUGGAGGCGGGCAGGAAGGGGUUAACCGCGCCCCUCCCCCCACCGCGCCCUCCGUGCCGGGCGAAGGCCGCCGCCUCCCUCGCGAGGUCUCAUUAGGGAAACCCUUACCGCUAUUUUCAACAUUUCCUCAAUCAAGAACCUUUAAAUAGAGCUGCACAAACAAAUUGGCGGCAAAAGCGUAGAUCUUGUCACGAUUGAGACCAAUCCCAAUAUUUCAGCCUUGUUUGCUUUGCAAUUACGGGUUGGCUUGUGGCAGCGGUGCCACCGGGGCAAAUCUGCAGCCGCGCGCUCUCUCCUCCGCACCCUCGGCGGGUGGAGGGGGCCAGCCGCACGGCCGCUG